rnacentral:rRNA from 1 species
UUACUGACGCUAAAGCUCGAAAGUGCGGGUAUCGAACAGGAUUAGAUACCCUGGUAGUCCGCACGGUAAACGAUGGAUGCCCGCUGUCGGCGACAGACUGUCGGCGGCCAAGAGAAAUCGUUAAGCAUCCCACCUGGGGAGUACGCCGGCAACGGUGAAACUCAAAGGAAUUGACGGGGGCCCGCACAAGCGGAGGAACAUGUGGUUUAAUUCGAUGAUACGCGAGGAACCUUACCCGGGCUUGAACUGCAGCAGACGGAUCCAGAGAUGGUGACUCCCUUCGGGGCUGCUGUGGAGGUGCUGCAUGGUUGUCGUCAGCUCGUGCCGUGAGGUGUCGGCUUAAGUGCCAUAACGAGCGCAACCCCUUUCUUCAGUUGCCAUCAGGUAAUGCUGGGCACUCUGUAGACACUGCCACCGUAAGGUGUGAGGAAGGUGGGGAUGACGUCAAAUCAGCACGGCCCUUACGUCCGGGGCUACACACGUGUUACAAUGGGUGGUACAGAGAGUCGGGUGUACGCAAGUGCAUUCUAAUCUUGAAAGCCGUCCUCAGUUCGGAUUGGGGUCUGCAACCCGACCCCAUGAAGCUGGAUUCGCUAGUAA